AGCAUUAGUUUGCAAUGAUGUGAUGGAGGUGGAUUUAUAUAAAACUGCUCCCUGAUUUUUAUACGCCCGUCAAUUUUUGACGGGACGUAUUAUGGUAUACAAAUGUCCAGUGUCCGUCAUUCUGUCCGUCUGUCUGUCCGGCAUAAAACAUGUCGCACCGUAACUUGAGAAUGACGUAUCCAAAUUUCAUGAAACUUAACAUAGUUGUUUCUUAUGAUGGUCAAACGAUCUGUAUACUUUUUGGUGAAAAUAAGAUUAAAAGUUUUUUAGUUUCGGGACUCAGUAACUAAAACAGGUGUGUGUUUUUUUUCACAUGUCGCACCGUAUCUCAAAAACAAUUUAUGAUUAUUGCUUAAAAUUUUACACACUUCUUAGUUAUAUUAAUCUUAAGAUCUGUAUACUUUUUGGUGAUGAUUCAAAAUUUUAUUUUUGAGUUAUUGAGUAUUUUGUAAAAAAAGGGAAGGGGUUUUUCACAUGUCCCGCCGUAUCUCAAAAACGAUUUAUGAUUAUUGCUUAAAAUUUUACACACUUCUUAGUUAUAUUAAUCUUAAGAUCUGUAUACUUUUUGGUUUUGAUUCAAAAUUUUAUUUUUGAGAUAUUGAUUUUUUUUUUUUAAAAGGGGGGUUUUCACAUGUCGCGCCGUAUCUCAAAAACGAUUUAUGAUUAUUGCUUAAAAUUUUACACACUUCUUAGUUAUAUUAAUCUAAAGAUCUGUAUACUUUUUGGUUUUGAUUCAAAAUUUUAUUUUAGAGAUAUUGAGUAUUUUGUUAAAAAAGGGGGAGGGGUUUUUCACAUGUCGCGCCGUAUCUCAAAAACAGUUUAUGAUUAUUGCUUAAAACUUUACACACUUCUUAGUUAUAUUAACCUCAAGAUCUGUAUACUUUUUGGUGAUGAUUCAAAAUUUUAUUUUUGAGUUAUUGAGUAUUUUGUAAAAAAAGGGGGAGGGGUUUUUCACAUGUCGCGCUGUAUCUCAAAAACGAUUUAUGAUUAUUGCUUAAAAUUUUACACACUUCUUAGUUAUAUUAAUCUAAAGAUCUGUAUACUUUUUGGUUUUGAUUCAAAAUUUUAUUUUA